AAAUGGAAAAGUACCAAAAAUUGAUUAUGGCAAAGCAAACUGCCUAAGAGGAGGAAUGCAUUCGUGAAGGACUUUCUAAAGAAUACUGGCUUGUAAUCGAGAAACCACGAAACGUUACACAUCGAGAAACAACGAAAAUGCCCAUGCAGCCAGCCCGUUCGUCUGAAGUCGAAUCCGAAUCGUAACUACCAGUGUUCAGCGAUUUUACCGCUCGGCCGCUGGUGGACCUAAAUUAUUGAAAUUGGCUAUAUC